rnacentral:tRNA from 1 species
UGACCUUUAGUUUAAUGGUAAAACGAACAACCGAUAAUUGUUAGAAGAGGGUUCGAUUCUUUCAAGGUCAA